rnacentral:rRNA from 1 species
GACUAACGCUGGCGGCGUGCCUAAUACAUGCAAGUCGAGCGAAGUUUUUCUGGUGCUUGCACUAGAAAAACUUAGCGGCGAACGGGUGAGUAACACGUAAAGAACCUGCCUCAUAGACUGGGACAACUAUUGGAAACGAUAGCUAAUACCGGAUAACAGUAUUUCUCGCAUGAGAGAUAUUUAAAAGUUGGUUAUGCUAACACUAUGAGAUGGCUUUGCGGUGCAUUAGCUAGUUGGUGGGGUAAAGGCCCACCAAGGCGACGAUGCAUAGCCGACCUGAGAGGGUGAUCGGCCACACUGGGACUGAGACACGGCCCAGACUCCUACGGGAGGCAGCAGUAGGGAAUCUUCCGCAAUGGGCGAAAGCCUGACGGAGCAACGCCGCGUGAGUGAAGAAGGAUUUCGGUUCGUAAAGCUCUGUUGUUAGGGAAGAAUGGAUAUGUAGUAACUAUACAUGUAAGAGACGGUACCUAACCAGAAAGCCACGGCUAACUACGUG